rnacentral:lncRNA from 1 species
AAAACAGUCAUAAGGGAAGCUGCUGUAUGUAACCUGCAAAAGGACGACUGUGCCUCUGUCAGAAAAGUCCUUCAAACCAGCUGAGUGAGCUGCGUGUGGUGGCUCACACAGGGAGUCCACGGGGGACAGAAAGUGUAGAAUCGAAUGUGAAUCUCCACCACUUCAGAGCUACAGUGCUCCACCUGGAUGGAAGUUCAUGGAGACGUAGAGAUUUUAUUGCGCUUUGAACAGGGCAGGCUGAAGUUGAACCUCAGUGUAGCUGGAGAUGCCUUUGCACUUCCGAUGGCCCGGGAGCAGAUUGAAAGAAGAGAGAGAGUCUGGGAUGCUCCAUCGAGAAAUCAGACAGCUGUAAAUAAAUACCUGCCUGUGUCCUAUUCGGUUGAUCUUGCCAAUGGACUGACUAAAGAACUCUCCCUUGCUGAAAAGGAUUAAAAGGGAUAAACCUUUUUUGGAAACACUCUAAGAGAUACACCUAUAGGUGGGUUUCCACAGUCGACAAUGAAAGGUUGCAUACACUCAGUCUUCAGGAGGAGGCAUCCCCUCUGGGUGCAGAACUUCCGCUGUGGCUGCUUGCUCAGGAUAAACUGGUGGGACCAUGACUCAUUUUGUCACUGGGACCACAGGAGGAGGGGCCAGAAGACAAUGAAGUGUGCGGUGAGCACUCUCACAUUUCGUUAGAUGCACCGUCUCUGAACCAGCUUACUCAGAACUUCAGGAUGGCGGUGUGCAGUUACCAACUGUUAAGUCAAAGAUUCUGGACUGUUUAGGGGUUCCCAAAGGGUUUGUCUAAACUCCACAGUGACACCACAGGAUGCGAAUACCAAGGAUCCAAACACUGAUAAACUCAGAGAAAGUCUUGGGUAUGUGAGUCCCAAGCUGGAGGCUUCAGGGGAGUUGGUGCCAGUGCUCAAGGGACUUACCAUCUUUGGCUGAUGUGACCAGGUCUCCUGCUCAGGAUCACAUGAUAUGGCGAACCUGACUUUACCCUUGGGAAUCGGUGGUAGCUCUCUUUGUUUGAAGGUUGCUUUCAGCUGUGCCUCGGGAAAUCAUUGCCUCUAUGAAGUUGUCCAAGGCGAGCUUGAUAAGCCUCUGAAGGCACAGAAGAACUGUUUGGAGAGGGGCCUAUACAUCUCGAUCUACAGCUACAGCGUCACAUGCUACCCCUCAGAAACGGACCUUUUAAUGAUUUCAUCCUGUCAAAAAUCGCAUAUUUCAAAACAUUAGAAAGUUGACUUGCACAAAUAUAAAACAAGCAUGGAUCAGGAAGUAUAGAAUGGCUUUUCUCAUAGGACAUGUUCUUAGGAAGGGCUCAGGAGAAGCAGGAAGCCACUGCAGGUGAAAUGGAACAGAUUCAGGCCCACGGGAUGGCACCACCCACAAUGAGGGGUGAGGAGGCACGGAAAAUGAGAUCAGCCUGGAUUGGAAAGCUCUCGCAGUUGCAUCGGAAACUCCGGAGGUAUGCAUGCUUCACCGUGUGCUCCAUAAGCUACUCAUCUGAUGUUUCAUAGGAAGCAGAAGAAAUUCCCAGCAAAGUGACCUGUGUUGCAAGACUCAAAAGAGGGAGAGAGAGAGUUGGCUCAGCUGGUGAAGAGCUUGAUGGACAUGAAGACCUGAGCUUGGAUCUCCCAACAUCUUUGUGAAAGGACGGGCACAGCCCCUGAAUCUCCAGAGCUGUGACAAUGGAAGCAAUGGCUCCUCAGAGCUUGCUGGCCAGCCAACCUGCUUGAGUUCAGCUCUAGAUUCUCUGUGACCCUGACUCAAAAACUAAGGCGUGGAGUGACUGAAGAAGAGAUCUGAUGUCAACCACUUGUUCUUAUUUACACACACACACACACACACACACACACACACACACACUCUUAAAUAAAAAUUAAAUUAUUUGUUGAAAAUGACAAAAAGAUGGACACCAUACAGUUAGAAGUGGCAGCUACCAAGGGACUUGUCUUGUGGUGCUCUUUUAUCAACAGUUUCUGAUUCCUUUGACAUAGCAAGUGGCAGUCCUGGGAGCCGGUUUCCAGUCACAAAUCCCAGUUCCCUUUCUCCCCGUUUUGUUCAGGUUCUGCCACUGUCUUGAGUAUGCUCUUUUGUGCUUACUAAAGCUGUGCUGUGUGGGAGAGUCAUCUGUUUGUUCCUUGUUCUUCAGUGGGCUGAGUGAUGGACCCCUCCCUCUUUACAGAUAAUAGAUCUGUGAGAAAUCUCACACCACUGGGACCUUAUUUGGGCUUAGAGAUUUGCUGGUGUAGUUGAGAGGCUUGGGAGAAGAACACAAUGGUUAAUUUGGUUGUUGACUGUUAGGAUCUGAAAUCACUGAGGAGAUAAACUUCUGAGUGUAUCUGUGAGGAAGAUUCUAGAUAGAGUUACGUGGGAUUAGAAGACUCAGUCUGACUGUGGAUUGUGGAGAAUUUUAGGACACAUUGCUAAAAAUGUCUCCUGGGAACCCAGUCUUCCUCUUAAAACAUGAAUGAAAAUCUCUUUCUUCGGGUUGGCUGGCCAGCUCUUCACACAUUUCCUUGUACAUCAUUCUGCCGUUCGUGAGCACGGGAGCUUGCACUCACUGAUCUCCAGUACCUGGGCCACCUUCGUGUCUCAGUUGCUUAUUUUCUUGAGCAGUCUAGGGUUGUGUAAUCCUGAGAGUCUUGAGGCCGUUAGAUUAUUGCUGGUAGAGAAGAGGCCACCAAGGGGCAGGAGACACAAGGAACCAUUCAUGUGGCAGGUGGUGAUCAGAGAGAGAAAGCAGAGCUAACGGUGGAAGAUUUGAGAUAUGGAACCUAGUAAUUAUAGAUUUUUUGCACAAAUUAUGAGACUCUGCUUCUUUUUUAUUUUUUGAAAGAUAGUCUCAUUACGUAGCUCCUUCCUAUGCAGACCAGGCUGGCCUUGGACGCAGAGAUUGGCCUGAUUCUGCUGGGACUAAGGCCACUAAACCUGGCGACAGUGAAAACUUUGUGCAUAAAAUCUAAGGUUUCUCCCUUUGGUAUCCUUGAUUUCCUUCUACACAGGAACGAUAUUUAGCAAGCACACAACACUCACAAUAUACUAAAUACAGUUCUAUGUGUUAUGUAAAUAACUUGCUUAGUUUCCGGGCAAACCUAUAAGGGGUAUUGUCACUGUCCACAUCGUACUGUUGCUAAGAAGAAAAGGUACAAGAUAAAAGGACAAGUGCUCAAUGACAACAUAUUCCAGUGGAUUGCACAAGCCAUCUUUUACAAGCCAGGAGGAUCUUAAACUGGACCACGUGAGGAACAAGGCACAAAGCAAGUCUCCCGUCUCACCAGAGGAAGGAAGACA